GUGUGCGAGUUGUAAAUUGCAGGUUGGAGUCUCGGGUUAGACGUGUGUGCAAGUCCCUUGGAACAGGGUGCCACUGAGGGUGAGAGCCCCGUAUCGUGCAUGUCGACACCUGUGAGGCCCUUCUGACGAGUCGAGUUGUUUGGGAAUGCAGCUCUAAGUGGGUGGUAAAUUCCAUCUAAGGCUAAAUAUUGGCGAGAGACCGAUAGCGAACAAGUACUGUGAAGGAAAGAUGAAAAGCACUUUGAAAAGAGAGUGAAACAGCACGUGAAAUUGUUGAAAGGGAAGGGUAUUGGGCUCGACAUGGGAUUUACGCAUCGUUGCCUCUCGUGGGCGGCGCUCUGGGUUUUUCCUGGGCCAGCAUCGGUUUUCGUUGCAGGAUAAGGACAAUUGGAAUGUGGCUCCUCGGAGUGUUAUAGCCUUUUGUAGAUGCUGCGUAUGGGGACCGAGGGCUGCGGCGGACUCGUUUCGUCUCGGAUGCUGAAAACAA
rnacentral:rRNA from 1 species